CGACGUCGAGGACGGGGCCGUCUCGUCCUCGUCGAGCCUCGACGUCGGCUGCGUUCGCAUCACGGAGCGCUUCCUCGCCUCCGACUCACCGUCGCGACCGGAGCUCGCGGCGGCGAGCGCGUACGUGAGGUCGCUCCUACCGGAGCUCGACGUCUCGAGCGCGAUCGGCGUCGCCGGCACCGUCACGACGCUCGCGACGCUCGACCUCGGUGACCCCGUCUACGACCCCGCGCGCACGCACGGCCAUCGCCUCCCGCUGCGUUCUUCAUCGAUGCCCCAAGGUUG
rnacentral:misc_RNA from 1 species